CUUGAAACACGGACCAAGGAGUUUAUCGUGUACGCAAGUCAUUGGGUGAAUAAAACCCAAAGGCGAAAUGAAAGUAAAGAGUUGAUUUUAUAAAAAGGAAUUUAUUCUUUUUUAUUUUUCUCUUAAGGGAAGAUGAAAAUUUAAUAUUAUAAUAUUUAUAUUAUUUUAUAUAAAUUUUUCGCAUUCCCAGGGCGCUUAUUUCACGCUUUGCGUGUCAAUGCGCACCUAGAGCGUACACGCUGAUACCCGAAAGAUGGUGAACUAUGCCUGGCCAGGACGAAGCCAGGGGAAACCCUGGUGGAGGUCCGCAGCGAUUCUGACGUGCAAAUCGAUCGUCGGAGCUGGGUAUAGGGGCGAAAGACCAAUCGAACCAUCUAGUAGCUGGUUCCCUCUGAAGUUUCCCUCAGGAUA
rnacentral:rRNA from 1 species